CCACAAAUUGUUUUUAUCACUGAAUAGUAACACACAUUCCUUAUCCUCUCACACACAACACGUUUCAUAUCCACACCAUGUAGGCACACUACUCUUUUAUCUCUUUCACUCCAUAAUUUUCUUGCUUUGUCUUCUUCGUGGUAACGCCUAAAUUGGCUGUUAAAGCAAAACAAACAGUAGUAGCUCAGUGCUGGCUAUUCUUCUCUGUUGACAGUAGCAGAAACACAAGAAUUAAAACAGUCUCAGGAGGAAAAUGGUGCUGCAGCCGUAGGCUACACAACACAGUAAAACGUUGUUGUUGCCAGCGCUCCACCAGCUGAACUUUCACUCCACGCCAGGAUGAACUUUUCUAAACCUAAAGAGCGGGGAGAUGCAGGCAGCAGUGAGGCACCACCUCGGUAGGCUUCGACGGCCGGCGCAGGCCAACCCGGUAGAUCAAAUAGUCCAGAACUCCAGAUUUAGACGACCUGCAACUCGAGGAGACCGUGACCUGCAGCUGGCUAGCACGGCGCCUGCUAGUAUUUCGAACGGCCGCAGUAGUCUCCAUGGUGCACCUGAACUUCAGACAUAAAAAAUAAGGAGCUCCUUCUGCAGAUUUGGGAACACUGUUUGUUGUAGAUCAGAAUCAAUUAGAUAAAGAAUUAGCACCUAGUGAUAGACAAACAUCAGAUAGUCGGCCGUGGACAUAAAGCAUAGGUAGGGUGCAGGGCAGGGCUGAGCCGGCUGGAGGAGGCAAGGUUCAGGGCGGGGACGCUCAGCUGCGCAUGGGAGGACGGGGGUGCAGGGCAGGGACCAGCAGCGGCGCACUGGAGCAAGCGGGGUUCUGGGUGGGAACGCGUGGCAGUGCCCGGGAGGAGCGGGAGGGGCUGAAGUCCAAACCCACCUCGCCCUGAAGGAGAUGGCAAGCCUCGCGCCGGAAGGAGGCUGGGCAACGGCGCGCCAGGAGGAGGUGGGUACGACGGCCUCGCACCGGGAGGACAAGUGGCGGCGCGUCGAGAGGCGGCACACAGGGAGGAGUCGGGGCGGCGGCGCGCCGGGAGGAGGCGAGACCGGUCGUGCGCGUGGAGAGGGAGUGGCUUCCGGCGACGUCAAAGCGGCCUCCGGCAGAAGGUCAACGGUACCCCAUGCUGCGGUUCGAACACCACUGCGGAGGAGGGAUUUGAGCGCGGGUCCUCUGUGGCAGUGCGUGGUGGAUGGAUGUGGUCGCCGGGAUCCAGGAAACGACCACGGGCGCUGGCCGCAUAUGGAGGGUGGGCGGGGCGCCCCGAGGAAGGCGAGACGGUGGGCCGUGGUGGUUGGCCGGAUCAAGGCGACGGAGGCGGUUGGCGGCGCGCAUGGAGGGAGGGCCGUUGUGGUUGAAGCAGGGGGAGGCGGCCACCAUGCUUGAAGCAGGGGAGAN
rnacentral:lncRNA from 1 species